AACACUGUUAACCUGCGGUACCUGCGGAAGGAUCAUUAUCAAAAGUCAAGUCGGGGGCUGUAAAGCUCUCGUCUACACCCAUGUCUUUUGCGUACUCUUGUUUCCUCGGUGGCGCAAGCUGCCGAUUGGACAAACCAAAACCUUUUUUGUAAUUGCAAUCAGCGUCUGAAAAUAAUCUAAUUAUUUACAACUUUCAGCAACGGAUCU
rnacentral:misc_RNA from 1 species